CCCGAAACUCCUCGAGAGAGGCUCCUCGAUCUCUCUUGUGAAUCUUUCAUAUUCAUUGAGAGAGAUUCAAUUUGGUCCUCAUUCUCUCAUCUCUCUUUCUCUUAUCGUCUCUCUCUCAUAGUUCUAAAACCCCAACAUUCUCCAGAAAUAUCAUGAAUCACAUUGAAAUCUCAAACCACCCAAACACCCAAAACGCUUUCUACCCUUAAGACCUUCGCUGCUUCUUCCUCCUCCCCUGCACUUGUCUGCCUCUCUCUUCAUCAAAAAACCCUAAAAAGGAAGACGAUGCCUUUUCCGUUUCAGAAUUUUCUCCAAGUUGUGCCAUGUGGAUUUCAUCAUCACCGUUGCUAUCAACUUGGACGAGCAGCUGAUGGGUUCGUCAACACCAUGGGUUACUGAACCAAGGAGGUCAUCGGUCGCAAUUGGUUAGCUUCUUUAUUGGGUUUUUCAUUUUACAGUUUGAAUUGGGAAUUUUUUGACCAUGGUGAUGAAUUGGUUAGCUUGCUACAAUUCCCGUCAGUCAACUUCAUGGCCUAAAAUAUGCAACUUCUCAUAUUCAUUUCAUCUUGACUUCUUCAUGAAACUUGUUUGAAAUAUUGUCAUCUUUUCUGUACUCGAAAAUCAUGAAAAUCCAACGGUUGGAUCAUUUACAAAAAAGGUAACACUACGAACUGCUCAUAAACAAUUCCUGUUUUGACGUAUAGCUGUGAAACUAAUUUAAUUAGAGUUUUCAUGUCUAAUUCCUUUCAAAUUCAGAUUCUCCUCACAGUGGGUUGUGUUUCCACAAUGAAAGUGAGUUCAAUCUCCUCUAUCUUGAGCCAAAAUCCAACAAUGUGAUCGACUAUUGAAUUGACUGGAAGCCAUAUCAUCUUCUAUGCAUAGCCUUUUUCUUUACAUUGGAAGUUAGUAUGUAAAAUACUUUUAUAGACCUGAUUUUUGUGAGGAUUAGGGAGAAUGAUUCUGAUAUCACUCCUUCAAAUGCCAAUUCAGGUGAAGAUAGGAUACUAC